CCUACGGGAGGCAGCAGUGGGGAAUCUUGCACAAUGGAGGAAACUCUGAUGCAGCGAUGCCGCGUGAGUGAAGAAGGCCUUUGGGUUGUAAAACUCUUUUGUAGGGGAAGAUAAUGACUGUACCCUAAGAAUAAGGUCCGGCUAACUUCGUGCCAGCAGCCGCGGUAAUACGAAGGGACCUAGCGUAGUUCGGAAUUACUGGGCGUAAAGCGCGCGUAGGCCGUUGAGUUAGUUAAUUGUGAAAUCCCAAAGCUUAACUUUGGAACUGCAAUUAAAACUGCUCGACUAGAGUUUGAUAGAGGAAAGCGGAAUACAUAGUGUAGAGGUGAAAUUCGUAGAUAUUAUGUAGAACACCAGUUGCGAAGGCGGCUUUCUGGAUCAACACUGACGCUGAGGCGCGAAAGUAUGGGUAGCAAAGAGGAUUAGAUACCCUCGUAGUCCAUACCAUAAACGAUGAUUGCUAGAUGUUGGAAAUUUAUUUUCAGUAUCGCANCUACGACAUANACAUCNCUGGNGACGACGCAGUAAACUACAAGAAGUAGAGCGNGAGAGNGCGAGACGACGACGAGGAGAG
rnacentral:rRNA from 1 species